AUUGAACGCUGGCGGCAUGCUUUACACAUGCAAGUCGAACGGCAGCGCGGGCUUCGGCCUGGCGGCGAGUGGCGAACGGGUGAGUAAUGCAUCGGAACGUGCCCAGUAGUGGGGGAUAGCCCAGCGAAAGCCGGAUUAAUACCGCAUACGACCUGAGGGUGAAAGCGGGGGACCGAAAGGCCUCGCGCUAUUGGAGCGGCCGAUGUCGGAUUAGCUAGUUGGUGGGGUAAAGGCUUACCAAGGCGACGAUCCGUAGCUGGUCUGAGAGGACGACCAGCCACACUGGGACUGAGACACGGCCCAGACUCCUACGGGAGGCAGCAGUGGGGAAUUUUGGACAAGGGGGGCAACCCUGAUCCAGCCAUGCCGCGUGCGGGAAGAAGGCCGUCGGGUUGGAAACCGCUUUUGUUCGGGAAGAAAUCCUCUGGGCUAAUACCCCGGGGGGAUGACGGUACCGGAAGAAUAAGCACCGGCUAACUACG
rnacentral:rRNA from 1 species